rnacentral:rRNA from 1 species
AACGAACGCUGGCGGCAUGCCUAACACAUGCAAGUCGAACGAGACCUUCGGGUCUAGUGGCGCACGGGUGCGUAACGCGUGGGAACCUGCCCUUAGGUUCGGAAUAACUCCCCGAAAGGGGUGCUAAUACCGGAUAAUGUCUUCGGACCAAAGAUUUAUCGCCUUUGGAUGGGCCCGCGUUGGAUUAGCUAGUUGGUAGGGUAAAAGCCUACCAAGGCGACGAUCCAUAGCUGGUCUGAGAGGAUGAUCAGCCACACUGGGACUGAGACACGGCCCAGACUCCUACGGGAGGCAGCAGUGGGGAAUAUUGGGCAAUGGGCGAAAGCCUGAUCCAGCAAUGCCGCGUAAGUGAUGAAGGCCUUAGGGUUGUAAAGCUCUUUUACCCGGGAUGAUAAUGACAGUACCGGGAGAAUAAGCUCCGGCUAACUCCGUG